UACGGGGGGAGCAAGCGUUGUUCGGAUUUACUGGGCGUAAAGGGCGCGUAGGCGGCCAGCACAAGUCAGUUGUGAAAUCUCCGAGCUUAACUCGGAAAGGUCAACUGAUACUGUGCGGCUAGAGUGCGGAAGGGGCAACUGGAAUUCUUGGUGUAGCGGUGAAAUGCGUAGAUAAUCAAGAGGAACACCUGCGGCGAAGGCGGGUUGCUGGGCCGUUACUGACGCUGAGGUGCGAAAGCGUGGGGAGCAAACAGG
rnacentral:rRNA from 1 species